UUUAUUUAAGCUAGUUUAAAUUGAAAUAAAUAAUUUCAGGUGUAUCAACAUUGAUUGGUAAAAAUACAGGAGGAGUUGUCCAUCAUGCAAUAAGAUGUCAGCAAUGCAGAAUCUGUGACAGUGCAACAAAAAGGGGGAUUCAGCCCAAAGAGCACAAAUGUAAGAAAAAUUGGACAGGCUCAGCAAAGGCUAUGGAGCCAGAUAUGCUAGUUCAGAUGGUAAUGGAUGUGAAGAACAAAGGGAUCAACAUAGAUGAAAUUGCAGGUGAGGAUGAUACGACCGGAUUCGACAGGCUGAAAAAGAUAUAUCCUGAAUCAAAGAUGAUUAAAACCAGUGACAGAAAUCAUGUAAAAAAGAAUGUCAUUAAAAAGUUAUAUGCAAUUAAAAGCCAACAUAAGCAGCUCUCUGACAUGGUUAUGAAUUCUAUAUUGAAGAAUUUUUCAUUCAUGAUAGAUCAAAACAAAGGAGAUGUUGAAGGAAUGGAAAAUGGCCUAAAAGCUAUAGUAGAGCACAUGUAUGGGGACCACGCCCAUUGUAAUAGAUCAUGGUGUGGAUUUCUUAAAGACGGAGAAAAAUAUAAGCACAGUAAUUUACCUCAUGGAAAAGACUUGACAUCUGAUUCAUUACGGACAGACCUAGAGAAGAUAUUUUUGGGGAAUGACUCAGUCAAUCCAAGGAAACUUGCAUACCUGUCAAGCUCACAAGCAAAUGAAAACUUUAACAACAUGCUUGCUGCAAAAGCUCCAAAAGCGAAGCACUACUCCUCAUCAGCAAGCUUGGGCUACAGGGUAGAUUCUUCUAUCUUGCAAAAGAAUGAAGGAUAUGCCUAUGUUAGUGAGUUCAUGCAUCCAUGGGACUGUCUCCUGGAGAGGAAACAAUAAAAAGAAGCUCCAAAAUAAAUAUGAAAAGGAAAAAAAACCAAAGAAGCCAAGAGAAGACGUUUCUUCUUAAAGCAGACAAGAACCUCUAAGACUGCUAGUAAAGAAAUAAGGGAAGGCAAAACUUACGAAAGUGAAAUAGGAUUCAAAUCUGAAGUUACAGACAAAGAGUCCCAGGAGAUUCCUGAAAUACAAGACAUCACAAAGAUCCCUUUGAAUGAACAAGAGUCAAAGCACCAGUAGUAAUUUUUGAUUUAGAGACAACUGGCCUCAGUAGGAAAUCUGACAUAACCCAAUUAGCAGCCUAUUCAGAAACUCUGAAUUUUAGCACUUACAUUUUUCCAUCCCAGGCAAUAUCCAAAGAAGCAUCAGAGGUCACACAAAUUUUUGUGAAUGGUAAUCAGAUGUUUCACAACAGCACUGCAGUUCAAUACAAGUUGGCCCAUGAAGCAUUGACGGACUUUAUUAUAUUUUUAUCAAGUUUUCCUAGUAAAUGUAUUCUUGUAGGUCACAACAUCAAACGCUUUGAUACUCAUGUGUUAUAUAACCAAUUGCAUAUUCAUAACAUGUGGAAUGAAUUUUGCUUACAUGUUUGUGCUUUUUGUGACACCUUAGAUUUAUUUAAAAGUGUUGUUCCUGGUAUGUCUUCAUACAGCCAAACAUCUCUUGUAAGAGAGCUCUUAGGCGAUACUUAUGAUGCUCACAAUGCUAUACAUGACACCAAAGUUUUAUACAAACUUGUAAUUGAAAGAGGGAAUUUUAAGGAUAAUGUGGUAGAAUUUUCAUUACCUGUUAGUUAUCCUUAUGAUUCACAUGUUAUCCAAGAAAACUUGAACAGUUUUUCUCAUGCUAUAAAUUGUGAAGCUAUUUCAAAAUCUUGUGCACUGAAGGCAUCAAAAUCUAACCUUAAAUUGUCUCACUUUAAGUUAGCAGUACAUCGAGAUGGUAUAGAUGGACUUAAAGCUUUACUUGCUGAAAAGUCUAACAAGGGAAGUGUGAGAGUAACUAAAUGUACAAGAGUUAUUCAAAAACUGUUUGAUUUUCUUCAUGAAGAUUGAAAUAGUAUGCAAUAAUUAGGUCAUGGAAAAUUACCUUGUUCUCAAGUUCACUAAAUGAUACAGGGGGAAGGAAUUUUUUUAUGCUCCAAUAUCAAAAAGGGAAAGGGCAUUUAGAUUUCCCCUUGUCCGUCCAUAUGUCCUGGUAUUGGUUAGUUUUUUACCUGCGUUGUAAAAAGCAUCAUUUAUAUUUAUCCUUAUACAUUUGUAUGUAAUGAUAUUGGUUAAGUUUAUACUGCUGGAGUUCAAUUUUUUCUUGGCUUUUAUGACAGAGAAUGCAAAUGAUUUUAAUAUUUGUUCUGGGAAUGAUUAUUUAUGCUAUGGAAUGCAUAUUACCUCAAUCAAUUGAAUGGAGAGGCAGGUUCAGAACAUAAA